rnacentral:rRNA from 1 species
UACAGAGGGGGCAAGCGUUGUUCGGAAUUACUGGGCGUAAAGGGCGCGUAGGCGCCUGUUAAGUCGAACGUGAAAUCCCCGGGCUCAACCCGGGAACUGCGUCCGAUACUGGCAGGCUUGAAUCCGGGAGAGGGAUGCGGAAUUCCAGGUGUAGCGGUGAAAUGCGUAGAUAUCUGGAGGAACACCGGUGGCGAAGGCGGCGAUCCUGGACCG